GAUAAAUAUAUUUCACAUGCCUGAAUCCACAUGGAAAGGUCUUUAAAGCUGGUAAAAGAUUACACUGAAGUUGAAGCUGCAUCUCCUCUACCAGCUGUUUUAUUAAUAGAAAUUAUGUCACAAUCGUAAUCAGCAGCGCAGGAAGUAGUCACAUCCUUUAGCUAUGUAAAAGUACCAAUAUAACAAUGUAAAAACAUGCCACAGCUCACAUCAAAAGUAUUAUCAGCAAAAUGCACUUAAAAUAUCAAAAGUAAAAGCACUUGCUUGGCUGAUGCAUCAUUAUAUUUUAUCAUAUUUGGCAUUGUUUGUAGGUAUUAAGAUACUAGUACCCGAGGCUGUGCAGCAGCUCUGAUCUCUAAGAGGAAGGUCACGAGGCAAUUCUGAGUGGUCAAGACAUGAUUAAUGGCACAGAAUACACAAAUCUGUUUUCAUUUUAUACACAUUGUUUCUAAUCUUUAUUUUUGGGGGUUAAUAUUGGAUCAUUUCAACAGUUAAUGUAAUCAAAGUGUUACGUCCCUGAGAGCCUGGGGAUGAGGAUAGUAACAAAUGUAAAGAAAACCAGGUAAUGAGGCAGGAAAACCAAUCAAUAUAUUUAUUUACAAAAAAUAAACAAAACCAAAAAUCCAACAAAGCCGAUCCCAAUAUCACAAAGUCACAAGACACCACACUAUGGCCCAGACGCAGCAUUGAGCAGCUGAUCUGACACACUGUCCACCAUUAUCAGGGUGGCUCGCUUUAAACAAUCCUCGCUGAUUGUAAAGGAGUCACAGGUGCACCUGGCCACUCCUGCUGGGCGUAACCUGAGUAAAGAAACGAGAGAAAAAAAAAAAAAACACAACCUACCUUACCUACACACAGACACACACAAAAGCAUGAGAGGGGUUUAGGGGGAGAUUUCUGGUUGAACUUCUAGAAAAGUAUCUGAGAUGUGUGCAUGUUAAAUAUCUUUAUUUUGAGCUCCCAAAGCAAAAAGCUUAGAGCCACUUGUUUAUUCUGAAGUAUAUUACAUCCUACUAAAUGUUAAUGUGUUUUAUGCAAAAUGUAUAUAGUAAAAGAUGUCAAAUAAAUUCAUUAAAAACUGCAAUAUUUGUUUCUAAACUUUAGUGGUGUAGAAGAAGAGAGUAAUAUAAAAUAUAAAUACUCAAGUACUGUACAGGCACUGGUCCCUCUAAGCUGCACGCGUGCGCAAUUGCGCACUGCUGACACGGUCUCCGCGCACAGAAAAUCUGCUGCGCACAAAAAAAAAAUCCAACCUAAACUGUAAAUAAAAUAAACACGUAACAAUUCAUUCUGUGCUACUUUUCAAUGUGAGUCAGUGAGUGACCGGUGACUGGCUGCUGCAGCCAAUGAUGCGAUUCACCUACGUAUUUACCAUAGACUGUAUAUAAUGGUAUUUACGCAGCUAAUCAACGUCAGGCGUCCUUAUGUGCAGCUACCGUUGUUCUCAUAGAUAUGAAUGAGUAGAUAGGACACGCCCCUUUGAGCUGCGUGCUACAGCGAGGCUAAGCUAGUGGGGGCAAAGUUUCAGUGCAUUCCGUUGAUGUAGACGGCGUGAAAACGGAAACAACAAGUAUGCCGGCUCACUGUGCUGCAUACAGUUACACACUACGUCGUACGAUUGAGACAAGGAAACUUGGAAUGACUUUUCAUAGGUUUCCCAGAGACUAUGGGUUGAGGAGGAAUUGGAAGUUUGUCGGCUUAGACCUGGUGUCAUUCCAUCAGUGUUUAACUUCCCGGCUCAUCUUGGAAGACUACGUGCCAAAAAGACCACGACCAAGCAGCCUUGAGAUCUUAGGCAGCGUCUCCCUGAGGUCCCUCUCUAUCUCCCCACACAUCCACCAACCACUGGAACACAUCUCCAAAGUUCUGCUGGGCCAGCUCAGCUUCCCCUCAGAAGAAGUGCUGCCACCUGCCAGAUGAAGGAGCCUUUUGAGAGGCAGCUGGCAUCGUGAUUGGACUGUACUUUGGUUUGUUCCAAUCCAUCUUCAGCUCCAGAGACGGUAGGCGGGACGAAUCAACGGAGGCCGGGUGGAUGAAGGCAUGCAGCUGAGUACAAUCCAGAAAACAACAGAGGAGGAGUGCCGUGGCCCAGAGCCAGUACAACCAGAGUAGCAUCGUAUGUCUCUUAGAAAACAUCAUAGUAGGGCUGGGCGAUUUUGCCAAAAAAAAAAAUCUUCGAUUUUUUUGAAAAAAAAAUCGAUUUUCGAUUCGAUUUCGAUUUUUUUCUAUGCAUUUAUAAGUGAUUGAGAAAAACAGAUAUUCUGUCAAAAGUUUGUUUUAUUGCAAACAAUUCAAGGCCUUGCCAUUCAAAAUUCAAGUUAUAACCCAGUUUCAAAAAAAGUGCAAGAGAACUUAGCUUAAAUUUUACAAUGAUUAAGAAAUUAAAUAAUGUUAUGAUUUAUAACACUACUACUACACUUACCAAAAAAAGUGCAAGACAAAAAAAUGCUUGAAGCUUGUGUUGAACAAACAGCCUUAAUUGUAAACAUUUCAUCUUUAAAAAGUAUCUCGCAUCCAAAACAUUCAGCAAGUGAUUGAAGCCUCGCUUUUCCACGGAAUAAAUGGGAAGCAUGUCUGUGGCAAUAUACAAAGUGAUGGCCUCUGUAAUUGCCUUAAAGCGGGCUCCACUCUUGUCAUACGGUACACAGUUGGCGAAUCUCUCAACAAGCGUUGUCUGUUUUGGCGGAGCUGUGCUCGGGGUGCCGUCUUCUUGUCGAAGCCACUUGCUCUUCUCCCACUCAUCUGGGUGCUUUUUUUUUAAGUGUUGAAACAAGUUUGUCGUGCUGCUACUUCCAGUUGCUACAGUCUUAAAACAAGUUUUGCAGCACGGCUUGGUCUGUUGAUCGUCGCUUGGAUCAAAUCCGAACCAGUUCCAAAUGACAGAAUUCCAAUUUCCUUUCUUUGAACAGAGUUGUUUUCUACUCGCGGGGGCAGCCAUGUUGUCUCUUUCUGUGCAAUGCGCGGGGCGCGCUACGGUAGCCCACGAGUGAAGUGAAGCCUGAACCGCGAAAAAAGAAACUAACGGGGAAAAUAAAUAUCAGAUCAAUGGGAAAACACUCGAGUUAGUAAAAUAAAAAUCGAUUUUAGUUAUAAAAUCGAUAAAUUGAUAAAUUCGAUUUUAUUCCCAGCCCUACAUCAUAGUAGAGCGUUUGGGAUGAAAAAACACCAUCAUAUACAUCGUAUAUUGUACAAAUAACAAGUCAAAGGGAAGAGACAUACAUUGUAGAAUUGUAGUAAUUGUGGGCUGACUGAUUUACUGAUUAUCAGUAUUUUAUUUUUUACUGAUUUACGGUAAUAAAUACAUUUAUUCAUUUAUAAAAAUUUAUAUAAAAAUGGUGCUACUUUGGCUCUGAACCUUUAUCUACCUGUGGUCGCGCUGUCUUCUGGAGUGAUUUGAUUGGUUAUACGUCACAAAUAAAACUCCUUUAACUUAACAUCUGUAAACAAAACAAAAAUGUAUCAACAAAGUUUUCUGUUAGAGUUUGUGUUCUUCUAAGUUUAACUCAAGAUUUUAAAUACUUUCAUUUACUGCAAAUGAAUAUCUACUCCAAAUGUCUCACUAAUAAUCAUUAUCAGCCUUAAAAACCCACAAAACACCCCUCUAUACUCGAUGACACUUAGUACAGUCUGGUUCCCCCUUCUAUAAAUCUGCCUGGAAUCUUCCACUUCCUGUUUGCCAAAGUGGCCUUCUACCUGGACAGGUUUUGUUGGAGCUCAUGCAACAAACAUUUUGGGUAACUGCACUUUAAUAUGGAUGGAUGAUACUUAAUUAGAGUCUGUUUUAAUGAGACUGAGUUAAGAUGUGUAGCUCUGUCAUUAAAUAGGAAAUUAUUUCUCAGAAUUCACAGAGAAAAGUCUGAAAUGUUUGCUAGGUUAGCGUCCCACAUGUUCUUUGGCUCAGCUAAAGCUAACUCUCUCCAACUUCUGGAUCUCUUGAGUUGCUUGUUAAAAUAUCUUGCUAGAGGUGCUGAAGCUCAGAAAGUCUGAGAUGUUUGUUCAAAAUAAGCUCAUUCUUAAGUCUUAUCUGAACUGUCCUCUUUUGUUUUAACUUUCCCUAAACUUAGGAGUUAAUGACAGAGCAGCACAUCCAGACUCAGUCUCAUUUAUGUAGAGAUUAAACUUUAGUGUCAUUCAUUGAUGUUGAAGUGCAGUUUUUCAAAUGUUUGUUGCACAUGCUCCCGACCAAACCAGUCCAGGUGGAAGACGAUGUGAAGAGAAAGCUCCAGAGGAUGAAUAUCACACAUUUACAUUGGAAAUAAAUGUCCUUUAAUUAGACAUUGUAAUGCAAAAGUUGGAUUUCCCUUUAAUGAUGUUCAAAUCUUUGUUGAGUGUUUUGUUGAUGUUGGUUUCUAAAUGUUUUUUGACACUCGGCUCCAAAGAUUAAAACCUUCUACGGCUCACAAGCUGCAACAAUUCACACAUUAUCAACUAUCUUUGACUAAACUAAGAUAAAAAGUGAAAAACUGCCUGAUUCCUGCAUCAUGAAUGUAAAUCUUUUUGGUUUUUAUGACCAUAAACUGAAUAUAUUUGGGCUUGACAUUUUAUAAACCAAAACAAGAAAUGAAUUACUGGAGAAAACGACAGAUUAAUGGACAAAGAAAAUGUGUUUUCUAACAUAUAUGGCUGAAUUACUUCAACAUUACAAGAUACAUACAAUUUUAAUUCAAUUUUAUUUAUAUAAUGCCAAUUACAGGUCAAAUUGUCUCAAGAUGCUUUAUUUUUAUAUUUUUUGUCAUAUUUAAAAUAUGACAAAAUAAGAAAUUUAAACCUCUUGACUAAUCCAAUUUAUUAUUUAGUUUUUAAGAGACUAAUUGACAAUUCAAACUUUCUCCACUAAAACUAAUAAACAUGAGGUCAAAUACAAGGAAUAGUUUUAAAUACUGCAGUCCCACGACGACAAGAAUAAAGUUUCUCAACAAAAACUAAAUCUGCUGGUGGAUUCCAUGAAAGUCCUAAUAAAGGAUAAUAAAGUGUGAUACUAAAGGUUUGUGGUGCUAAAAAUCUCAAAGUAAAGAUAUCAAGUUGAACAUCUGGAUGGAGGUUGAUAAAAGUUGACCUUCUUUCAUUUCUCUGGAGCGACUCCAUGGAUUUUAUGGAUGGUGGUUAAAGACCUGCUCUUCUAGUGGUCUUCCUUUUAGUCGCUGUAAAAAGUCACUCUACCUGGCCGACUUUAACACCUCUUCAUGACUUGUUCUGCCUCUGACCUGGUGGAAACUCGAGAAACUCGGGAAAACCUGUCGAGACUCGAGGAACUC